GUAACUCUGGAGAAUCCCAAUGGAAUGGGUGCCGAAGGUGCAAGAUACAAAACAGGCGUUUGUAUUCAAUCUCUCAGGCAAAAGGACGGAGAAU
rnacentral:ncRNA from 1 species